UGUAAGCGUAUACCAAAGUUGUUGCAGUUAAAACGCUCGUAGUCGGAAUUUGGCAGUUCCGGAAGUGUGCACGUCGUGUGCGCACUUUGCGGGGACUGCUUUUGUGGUCUUGCGUAGGAUGAGGCACUUUCAUUAGUGAACGUCCUCACGCAACCACUCUUUACUGUGAGAAAAUCAGAGUGCUCAAAGCAGGCAUUUGCCGUGAAUGUAUUAGCAUGGAAUAAUAGAAUAGGACUUGGUUCUAUUUUGUUGGUUUGUUGGGACUGAGUAAUGAUUAAGAGGGACAGUUGGGGGCAUUUGUAUUCCGGCGCUAGAGGUGAAAUUCUUAGAUUGCCGGAAGACAAACUGCUGCGAAAGCGUCUGCCAAGGAUGUUUUCAUUGA
rnacentral:rRNA from 1 species